AUCAUAGAUGAAUAAAAGGAGAAUAUUUGUAGGUUGUAAGGGAGAUCCGUUACUCAGUUAGUGGAGUAAUCGUCAAAACGGAGGACGGAUCGAUAUAUAAGCAAAAUAUGCAAUGGUUUCGACGACCGUUGGCGUCCUCCAGACAAAUCUCAUCCUGACUUGCCUCAAUGGAAACUACUAGCAGUCUACCAAUUUAACAUGGCCAUCUACACCAAGAUCGUCCUGAAGUUCCCCUACAAAUUCUGGGACCAUAUUUUUUAUAUAUGCUCAUGAGAAACGCGGGUAUUAUCCUAUCUGGUAGGUGAAUCAACAAUUGCAAACUUUACCUUUUCUGUAAUUUUCUAUGUUACUGUAGUCUAUAGAUGUCUUUUAUUAUGGAUAAGUUUCAAUAAAUGUCAAGAGCAUUAUGGUUGGAUCUGGAGCAAUUGGUGACUAAUUACCCUGGAUCCAAUCUUCUUCUAAUGAGAGUCACAGAUGAUGUGUCAAGAAGUAUAGAGAAACAAUCAGAUGAAGAGACAAAAGCUGAAGCCAUGGGGGUGUUGAGGAACAUGUUUGGAAAGAACAUUCCUGAUGCAGAGGCUAUACUUGUUCCUCGAUGGUAGUCUGUUGAUGGUUAUAGAAAUCAGAUAUUGAGUUUCUUGUAUAUUACAAAUGGCAAUUUCUAUGUCGUGAAAUAGGUUUUACAAGGGCACUUACUCUAAUUGGCCAAUUGGGGUCAGUCGUUUCGAGUAUGACCAAAUAAUGGUGAGAACUUUUAUCUUAGUGAUAAAAAGUAAGGAUAGGGGUCCAGACUCGCUAAGGUCCAGAGCUCGAGUCAGGUCAGACAACUCAAUCGGGUCUAAACAAAAAAUAAUGAUAAAAUAUUGAAAGGCGGGUAGACUUGUUGGCCUGUUCUGAUGUGUUUGGUUCAGUUUCUUAACAGCCUGCCGAAUUCAUCUGACUCGAGUGAGUCCAAAUCAGACUCGCCAAGUUUGUAUUCAAUGCUAUCAUACAUAAGGAGCCUUGCAUGCGUAUAAAUAUGGGUAAGACCACACGUUUUACAUUUAGUAUUUUGGCUUUGGAAAAUACCAUAUGUAUUUUAAAAAACAAUGCGUUUUUAAUAAAUAGAGAGGUAGUCGUAUAGUUUAGUCCGACAUUGAAGACGAGCGACACUAGAGCGGCUGUUGUAUGGGAAUUUUUAUGCCGAAUGUUUAUGGAACAAAAGAAAGAGUGUGAAUGCAUCUGCAGAGCAUGUGAAGCAUGUGACUUCGUUAGACUUAUGAUACACCAUUUUUACAAGAUGUGACUCAGGCGCGUGCAUGAUCCAACCAACGGCUAUGUCACUAUUGCUCAUAUGAAUAAUCACCUCCAAAAGCCACUAAACACAAUAAAAUUGGGUUUGAAUUUCCCACUUGAAUACUCACAUUCUCUCUCUCUAACCCGACUACACUCUCUCCCUACCAUAAGAUAACUCUUAUGGUUCAUGUGCAUAGAACCAUGAAGUCUACUGAGACCUUCUAUUUUCCUAUAUCCCAAGGACAACUUUGCGAAGCAAAUGUUUUCCAGAAAAAACGCAACCACGUGCCGGAAAAUAACGAUUUACACCCCCGUUUCACAUACUCCAUUUCUAACAUUAUAUGAUCCAUAUAAGCCAAAUGUAUGAGUACUUGAACGAAAUUGUCUGUACCCCAAACAAUGGAGGGAUGUAAAAUGUGGGUAAUCGACUGUAGGCACCGGUUGGCAAGGUUUACUUCACUGGGGAGCAUACCAGUGAUCGUUACAAUGGUUAUGUUCAUGGAGCCUAUUUAGCUGGGAUCGAUUCGGCAAACAUGCAUUAAGAAAGGAAACUGCGAGCCCAAGUUUGAGGGAAGAAAGAAGGGUGGCAACAAGGGUGCAUGUGUGGGAUCGUGCUAUCGCUGUUCAACAUCGAUUAUGAAAUUUGAUAUAUAUUGGCUAAUACUUCGUGAUAUGGUGAUUUUUACUAAGUGAUCAUGGUCGAAAUACUGCUGAUUUUUUAAAUUUA